AAAUAGCGGCUGCUUCUUUUCCAAGGAUUUAUUUAAUGGGGAUGUGUUCAAGGCAAGACCGAAUUCAGAAGGAUAUCGACGUCGUGAUCCAGAAGUCCAGAGCUGAGGACUGCCUGUUUGCAGGAAUCGAACUCGAGCUGCAGGCGGUGAAAGCGCCGAAUCCUAGCCACUAGACCACCAGGGAAACAACAGCAAGCACUUUUCAUUCCUCUUGCCUUCCAAAGGUUUCUCCAAAAGGUGAACCUGUCUGCAAUGCUCACGAAGCCCUCCAGAUGCACAAGUCAAAACUGAUCUAGAGAUUCUGAAGUACGCUGUGCUCCUUGAGAAGUGCGGAGCCACUGGAACCACAAGCAGCUUCAGACAGGAACCAAUGAGGCCAUCAAAACCCUCAACAGAGGCAUCUGUGAGUUCAUUGUGGUGGCUGCAGACACCACGCUGCAAGAGAGCAUUCUGCACUCCCACUGCUGUGUGAAGAGAAGAAUGUGCUGGGCCUGCCUGGAAUGUUUGCGCACUCCAGGCGGGCCCUGGGGCGGGCCUGUGGGGUCUCCAGUCCUGUCAUCACCUGUUCUGUCACCAUCAAAGAAGGCUCACAGCUGAUCCAGUCCAUUCAGCAGUCCGUUGAAAGGCUCCUAGUCUAAACCUGUGGCGUCUAAACCCGUGGCCUCUGCUGCACAAUCUCUGCUGACUCCUCCCCCUGAGGUUAUUCUCAGCUACUUUCUAUUGCUAUAAAAUAUUAUAGUACUAAA
rnacentral:lncRNA from 1 species